GACGAACGCUGGCGGCGUGCUUAACACAUGCAAGUCGAGCGGUAAGGCCCUUUCGGGGGUACGACGAGCGGCGAACGGGUGAGUAACACGUGGGUGACCUGCCCUUAGCUCUGGGAUAAGCCUGGGAGACUGGGUCUAAUACCGGAUAUGACUCCAUGACGCAUGUUGUGGGGUGGAAAGCCUUGUGCGGCUAGGGAUGGGCCCGCGGCCUAUCAGCUUGUUGGUGGGGUGAGGCCUACCAAGGCGACGACGGGUAGCCGGCCUGAGAGGGCGACCGGCCACACUGGGACUGAGACACGGCCCAGACUCCUACGGGAGGCAGCAGUGGGGAAUCUUGCGCAAUGGGCGAAAGCCUGACGCAGCGACGCCGCGUGGGGAU
rnacentral:rRNA from 1 species